rnacentral:rRNA from 1 species
AAACCAGCACCUCAAGUGGUCAGGAUGAUUAUUGGGCCUAAAGCAUCCGUAGCCGGCUCUGUAAGUUUUCGGUUAAAUCCACUAGCUCAACUAGUGGGCUGCCGAAAAUACUGUAGAACUAGGGAGUGGGAGAGGUAGACGGUAUUCGGUAGGAAGGGGUAAAAUCCUUUGAUCUAUUGAGGACCACCUGUGGCGAAGGCGGUCUACCAGAACACGUUCGACGGUGAGGGAUGAAAGCUGGGGGAGCAAACCGGAUUAGAAACCCCGGUAGUCC